rnacentral:lncRNA from 1 species
AAAAAUUAAUUGUAAUUUCUUCUCUAAAGAGAAUAAAAGAAAAUAUUCGAAAAAUUCAACAAGUAGAAAAAAAAAGUUGACACUUCGACAAUUCAAAAGACAUAUAGUUAUGAGAGUAAGGAAUAAAAAACUCAAAAUAAUUUUUUGUGUAUAUUGGAAUGAAACAAGAAUUUUCCUUAUAUAAUGAAGUGAGGAAGGAAAUAUAUCUCAUCAGAACAAUGUGGGAUUAAGAAAUGUUUUCAACUAAGGCACAACGUGGGACUUAUCUUAAGAAACUUUUUCAAAUUCAUCUCUUUAUAUUGACACAAUGUUCCAUCACUAAGCCUUGAAACUCUUUCUUCCCAUACAUUCUUGUUUCUACUUUUCGAUAUUGAGCUGGAUUUCAUUGAUCUUUGUAAAGUUUGAGGACGGAAAAAUGAUCAGGGAGAUGAAUUGAAGGUCUUUUGAGGGCUUAAUUUAUGAUUUGGCUUAGAACCAUUGCUGUUGCCGCCGGAGGUGAUUUCUGGCGCUGUGGAAUCUAGGUUUGAUUAAGAGAUGAGCAAUUAUUGUUGUGAUCGCGUUGCUGUCGUGAGCAUGAGAAAGAUGAGCGAAAAUCCGUAAGCAGAAUUGAAGAAUGGCUUUUGAACAAAAACACGUUCGGGAAGCGCUUAUGAGAACGCGGUUCUGGGUUUCGUAUCCACCAUUUCACGUUGCUGCACUUUUUGCUUCAACUUCUGUUUUACUGCUAUUUGGCCUUUGUUUUCUAUCAUUCUAUUAUUCUCAUUUUUUUAGUUUUAUUUAAUUUUAUUUAACUUUAUUUAAUUUUUAAAAUGCGAUAUGUCAUGUGUUGUGAUUGGUGCUGGCUUUUCAACGUAAACAAUUCAACAAAAAUGGCUUGCACUUCUUCUACUGCUAUGUGUUUCAUAUUGCUACUCUUGUUUUUCUUCUUCCAUUUUUCUAAGUACUGUUAUACUUGUUUUAUAUUAUU